rnacentral:miRNA from 5 species
ACUGGACUUGGAGUCAGAAGG